rnacentral:rRNA from 1 species
CUGAAACAUCUAAGUACCCCGAGGAAAAGAAAUCAACCGAGAUUCCCCCAGUAGCGGCGAGCGAACGGGGAGGAGCCCAGAGCCUGAAUCAGUGUGUGUGUUAGUGGAAGCGUCUGGAAAGGCGCGCAAUACAGGGUGACAGCCCCGUACACAAAAAUGCACAUACUGUGAGCUCGAUGAGUAGGGCGGGACACGUGGUAUCCUGUCUGAAUAUGGGGGGACCAUCCUCCAAGGCUAAAUACUCCUGACUGACCG